rnacentral:rRNA from 1 species
UACGAAGGGGGCUAGCGUUACUCGGAUUGACUGGGCGUAAAGGGCGCGUAGGCGGUUUGUACAGUCAGACGUGAAAUUCCUGGGCUCAACCUGGGGGCUGCGUUUGAUACGUGCGGACUUGAGUUCGGAAGAGGGUCGUGGAAUUCCCAGUGUAGAGGUGAAAUUCGUAGAUAUUGGGAAGAACACCGGUGGCGAAGGCGGCGACCUGGUCCUUGACUGACGCUGAGGCGCGAAAGCCAGGGGAGCAAACGGG